rnacentral:tRNA from 1 species
GGAAGGGUCGCAUAGUUGGCCUAGUGCGCGCGCCUGGAAAGCGCGUAGGCGGGACCUCUCGCCUCGCGGGUUCGAAUCCCGCCCCUUCCG